GAUCCAAAACUUCCAGGUUGGGAGAAAUCACAGAGGUCCUCAAAACCAACUUCAGAAGCUCAGAAAGUUCUACACAUUAAAUAAAAACAUCAACAAUAUGGUUUUAACAGUGUUCAUGGGGGAAGAAAAACACAAGAAAGAAAUAUACCUGUUUACUGAAAGCUGGGGCCACUGAUUUCUCCCAGUGAGCUUUUAACCCCAUUUCUUGUCUGACCCUAAACGACUUGUUCAGAAGGAUUUAAGAAGACCUAGCUCAGUAGUUCAGUAGGAGGUGAGGAUUUGAGCUGUGUGUAUGAGGAAACUGCCUCAGUUAGCCUGAGGCUAACAUGCCGAGGGUCAUCCAGCUGGUGAUAACAGGGCCAAGAGUCAAACCUAGAAGUCUGGCUCCUACGUGGAUUUUUGCUGGACUCCUUGUUGGACUUCUCAUUGGACUACCCCAAAACCAGAAGAGUCCUUUUGUGUAUCAUUGCAUCACCUAUACAUACACAAUGUGUGGCAUUUGUUGAAUAGAUGAAUGGAUUUGAUUAUCGCAAAAAUCACGUGGAGUGGGUACAGCCACAAUUAGCAUUCACGUCUCAAAACUGAGGAUAAUAAUACACUUAGGACAGAGAGAGGAGGAGAAACUGGUUUUAAGGUUUCAAGUUGGUUACUGAGUGGGUGAUGGGGGCUUCUCUAUCACCCUAGGAGAUUUGGACUGUAUCCUAUAAGCUGUGUGGAACUAUUGAAGUAUUUGAAGUAGGAGAGAUAUGAUAAGGCAUUUUGUUGGAGGAAGGAGCGCUGGACUAUCCUGGCAGCUUGAGGUGGAUAGAUUUUGUGGUGCACUGGCAGCAAAAAGCCAAUUUAAAGACUUCCAAUAGUCCAGGUUAACUAUAUGCAGGAUGGUCCUCUUUUGUGCUGCUGGGCAGGGGCAGCAAACCGCAGCUCCCAGUCAGCCAUGGGAUCAUAAGGCAGCUGAAUCUCAAAGAUGGACUGCACUACUACAGGAAUUUGUUUUCAUCCUUCAAGAUUAACCUGAUGUCACUUCUAUGAAGCUUUCCAAAUCCCCCUGGCCUAUUUAGUUGCACUCUACGGUGUUUGCAUACUUGUCUGUGCAAAUAUCUUUCACGAUUGUCUAUUUUCCUCGAUCACUGUGAUGACCAAUCCCAUCUAAGCUAGCAUCAUUUCUCUGUAAACCUGGUGAAAGAGCUGUUUAACUUGUCUCUGGCAUCUACCCUUACUCCUGUUCAUUCUCCCAAAGUGGCAAGAGGGAUUUCUGAAAUGUGAAAAUGAUCAGGUCCUACCCUGCUUGAGAGCUGUCAGUCAAGUCCCAUUCUCUGAGGGUCUUUAUCCCCACAGAAAGAACAGUCUGGAAAGCGGCAUACAUGGUCCUUAAUCAUGUCCCGUGUGACCUGGCCUCUGCUGUUCUCACCAGUCCCAGCAGUGCCUCACGCCCUUGUCCUAUCUUCCAACCACACAGCCCUUACCUACCUGCACUUGGUCCCACCUGUAGCCACUGCACAUGUUCUCUUCCCCUCUCCACAGAUUCAAUCCUGCCUACCCUUUCAUAGUGUGAAUCCCAAGACAACCUCCCCAAAUCCACCCCCACAGUGCAAUCUAAGAGUAAAGAUGGGCUUCCUACGCAACAUGGCUCCAAAACAAACCUUCAUCCCUGCCAGCUUGCCAAACCUAAACUUCUUCUAUUCAGAAAUUCUGGAAUCUUCCCCACGUUCCAGGGCUCAACUCAAACGUCACCUUUACAAGAGAGUAUUCCCAGGACACUGUUCCUCCCUUUUCUGGAGCACGUCAUAGCGUUCUCUCGGUGAAACCUCAUUUUAGCACCUGUGCUUCUUUACUACAACGCUUACAACAACUGUAUUAAAAUCCGUCAUUACGCUAUCAUUUAUUUUGUGCCCUUUUCCCCAAACAGAGUGUAAGUAAUGCCCAUUAGGGAAGGGAAAGGGCCCUCAUUUGUGAAUCCGCACUCUCCAAACCAAGUACAAAGUA